rnacentral:rRNA from 1 species
AGUGAACGCUGGCGGUAGGCCUAACACAUGCAAGUCGAACGGCAGCACAGUAAGAGCUUGCUCUUACGGGUGGCGAGUGGCGGACGGGUGAGGAAUACAUCGGAAUCUACUUUUUCGUGGGGGAUAACGUAGGGAAACUUACGCUAAUACCGCAUACGACCUACGGGUGAAAGCAGGGGAUCUUCGGACCUUGCGCGAUUGAAUGAGCCGAUGUCGGAUUAGCUAGUUGGCGGGGUAAAGGCCCACCAAGGCGACGAUCCGUAGCUGGUCUGAGGGGAGGUACAGCCACACUGGAGCUGAGACACGGCCCAGGGUCCUAGGGGAGGCAGCAGUGGGGAAGAUUGGACAAUGGGCGCAAGCCUGAUCCAGCCAUACCGCGUGGGUGAAGAAGGCCUGCGGGUGGUAAAGCCCUUUUGUUGGGAAAGAAAAGCAGCAGGUUAAAACCCCGCUGUUCUGACGGUACCCAAAGAAUAAGCACCGGCUAACUUCGU